rnacentral:rRNA from 1 species
UACGUAGGGCGCAAGCGUUGUCCGGAAUUAUUGGGCGUAAAGAGCUCGUAGGCGGCUUGUCGCGUCGGAUGUGAAAGCCCGGGGCUUAACCCCGGGUCUGCAUUCGAUACGGGCAGGCUAGAGUGCGGUAGGGGAGAUCGGAAUUCCUGGUGUAGCGGUGAAAUGCGCAGAUAUCAGGAGGAACACCGGUGGCGAAGGCGGAUCUCUGGGCCGAUACUGACGCUGAGGAGCGAAAGCGUGGGGAGCGAACAGG